ACGGGAGGCAGCAGUGGGGAAUAUUGGACAAUGGGGGAAACCCUGAUCCAGCGACGCCGCGUGAGUGAAGAAGGAUUUCGGUAUGUAAAGCUCUAUCAGCAAGGAAGAAAAUGACGGUACUUGACUAAGAAGCCCCGGCUAACUACGUGCCAGCAGCCGCGGUAAUACGUAGGGGGCAAGCGUUAUCCGGAUUUACUGGGUGUAAAGGGAGCGUAGACGGCAUAGCAAGUCUGAAGUGAAAUGCAUGGGCUCAACCCAUGAACUGCUUUGGAAACUGUUAAGCUAGAGUGCAGGAGAGGUAAGUGGAAUUCCUAGUGUAGCGGUGAAAUGCGUAGAUAUUAGGAGGAACACCAGUGGCGAAGGCGGCUUACUGGACUGUAACUGACGUUGAGGCUCGAAAGCGUGGGGAGCAAACAGGAUUAGAUACCCUGGUA
rnacentral:rRNA from 1 species